GAGUUUGAUCAUGGCUCAGAUUGAACGCUGGCGGCAUGCCUUACACAUGCAAGUCGAACGGCAGCACGGGAGCUUGCUCCUGGUGGCGAGUGGCGAACGGGUGAGUAAUAUAUCGGAACGUGCCCUAGAGUGGGGGAUAACUAGUCGAAAGAUUAGCUAAUACCGCAUACGAUCUAAGGAUGAAAGUGGGGGAUCGCAAGACCUCAUGCUCGUGGAGCGGCCGAUAUCUGAUUAGCUAGUUGGUGAGGUAAAGGCUCACCAAGGCGACGAUCAGUAGCUGGUCUGAGAGGACGACCAGCCACACUGGAACUGAGACACGGUCCARACUCCUACGGGAGGCAGCAGUGGGGAAUUUUGGACAAUGGGCGAAAGCCUGAUCCAGCAAUGCCGCGUGAGUGAAGAAGGCCUUCGGGUUGUAAAGCUCUUUUGUCAGGGAAGAAACGGUAGAGGCUAAUAUCCUUUACUAAUGACGGUACCUGAAGAAUAAGCACCGGCUAACUACGUGCCAGCAGCCGCGGUAAUACGUAGGGUGCAAGCGUUAAUCGGAAUUACUGGGCGUAAAGCGUGCGCAGGCGGUUGUGCAAGACAGAUGUGAAAUCCCCGGGCUCAACCUGGGAAUUGCAUUUGUGACUGCACAGCUAGAGUGUGUCAGAGGGGGGUAGAAUUCCACGUGUAGCAGUGAAAUGCGUAGAUAUGUGGAGGAAUACCGAUGGCGAAGGCAGCCCCCUGGGAUAACACUGACGCUCAUGCACGAAAGCGUGGGGAGCAAACAGGAUUAGAUACCCUGGUAGUCCACGCCCUAAACGAUGUCUACUAGUUGUCGGGUCUUAAUUGACUUGGUAACGCAGCUAACGCGUGAAGUAGACCGCCUGGGGAGUACGGUCGCAAGAUUAAAACUCAAAGGAAUUGACGGGACCCGCACAAGCGGUGGAUGAUGUGGAUUAAUUCGAUGCAACGCGAAAAACCUUACCUACCCUUGACAUGGUCGGAAUCCUGAAGAGAUUUAGGAGUGCUCGAAAGAGAACCGACACACAGGUGCUGCAUGGCUGUCGUCAGCUCGUGUCGUGAGAUGUUGGGUUAAGUCCCGCAACGAGCGCAACCCUUGUCAUUAGUUGCUACGAAAGGGCACUCUAAUGAGACUGCCGGUGACAAACCGGAGGAAGGUGGGGAUGACGUCAAGUCCUCAUGGCCCUUAUGGGUAGGGCUUCACACGUCAUACAAUGGUACAUACAGAGGGCCGCCAACCCGCGAGGGGGAGCUAAUCCCAGAAAGUGUAUCGUAGUCCGGAUUGUAGUCUGCAACUCGACUACAUGAAGUUGGAAUCGCUAGUAAUCGCGGAUCAGCAUGUCGCGGUGAAUACGUUCCCGGGUCUUGUACACACCGCCCGUCACACCAUGGGAGCGGGUUCUGCCAGAAGUAGUUAGCCUAACCGUAAGGAGGGCGAUUACCACGGCAGGGUUCGUGACUGGGGUGAAGUCGUAACAAG
rnacentral:rRNA from 2 species